rnacentral:rRNA from 1 species
AUCACCUCCUUAGAGUUUGAUCCUGGCUCAGGACGAACGCUGGCGGCGUGCUUAACACAUGCAAGUCGAACGAUGAAGCCGCUUCGGUGGUGGAUUAGUGGCGAACGGGUGAGUAACACGUGGGCAAUCUGCCCUUCACUCUGGGACAAGCCCUGGAAACGGGGUCUAAUACCGGAUAAUACUCUGUUCCGCAUGGAACGGGGUUGAAAGCUCCGGCGGUGAAGGAUGAGCCCGCGGCCUAUCAGCUUGUUGGUGGGGUAAUGGCCUACCAAGGCGACGACGGGUAGCCGGCCUGAGAGGGCGACCGGCCACACUGGGACUGAGACACGGCCCAGACUCCUACGGGAGGCAGCAGUGGGGAAUAUUGCACAAUGGGCGAAAGCCUGAUGCAGCGACGCCGCGUGAGGGAUGACGGCCUUCGGGUUGUAAACCUCUUUCAGCAGGGAAGAAGCGCAAG